ACGUGUUUUUUUUUUCUUGGGCGAGAGUAGUACUAGGAUGGGUGACCUCCUGGGAAGUCCUCGUGUUGCACCUC
rnacentral:rRNA from 2 species